rnacentral:misc_RNA from 1 species
GAUGAAGAACGCAGCGAAAUGCGAUAAGUAGUGUGAAUUGCAGAAUUCAGUGAAUCAUCGAAUCUUUGAACGCACAUUGCGCCCUUUGGUAUUCCUUAGGGCAUGCCUGUUCGAGCGUCAUUUGAAACCUCAAGCUCAGCUUGGUGUUGGGUGUCUGUCCCCGCCUCCGCGGGGACUCGCCUCAAAAUCAUUGGCGGCCGGUACGUUGGCUUCGAGCGCAGCAGAAACGCGAACUCGAGGCCGGGCGGAUCGGCGACCAGAAGUCUCUUCUUCACAGUUUGACCUCGGAUCAGGUAGGGAUACCCGCUGAACUUAAGCAUAUCAAUAAGCGGAGGA